GAUCAAGUGUCUUAAGGGCAUUUGGUGGAUGCCUUGGCAUGCACAGGCGAUGAAGGACGUGAUACGCUGCGAUAAGCGUCGGGGAGGUGCGAAUACCCUUUGAUCCGACGAUUUCCGAAUGGGGCAACCCACCUUAGAUAGCUAGAAAAUCUGAACCGUUCUGAUGGAACGGCUCAAGUUUCUAGUUAUCGUAAUAAGGUAUCUAACCUUGAAUACAUAGGGGUUAGAAGCGAACCUGGGGAACUGAAACAUCUAAGUACCCAGAGGAAAGGA
rnacentral:rRNA from 1 species